rnacentral:tRNA from 1 species
GCUGGUAUGGUCUAGUUGGUUAUGACGACUGCCUAACACGUAGUAGGUCCCGAGUUCGACUCUCGGUCCCAGUA